rnacentral:miRNA from 1 species
GCUUUUCACGCGAAAAACAUUACUCUCUAAUAAAUUGUAUAAUAUACUUUCAAAGUAUAUUAUACAAUUUAUUAGAGAGUAAUGUUUUCGCGUGAAAAGU